GUCUGGAUAGUUUAGUGGUCUAGAGCAGUUGCCCGGAAAGCGAAAGACUCGGGUUCGAUUCCUGAUCCAGCCA
rnacentral:tRNA from 1 species